AUGGCCGGCUUCCCUCUCCUCCUCACCCUCCUCACUCACUGGUCCUGGGCCCAGUCUGUGCUGACUCAGCCACCCUCAGCGUCUGGGACCCCCGGGCAGAGGGUCACCAUCUCUUGUUCUGGAAGCAGCUCCAACAUCGGAAGUAAUUAUGUAUACUGGUACCAGCAGCUCCCAGGAACGGCCCCCAAACUCCUCAUCUAUAGUAAUAAUCAGCGGCCCUCAGGGGUCCCUGACCGAUUCUCUGGCUCCAAGUCUGGCACCUCAGCCUCCCUGGCCAUCAGUGGGCUCCGGUCCGAGGAUGAGGCUGAUUAUUACUGUGCAGCAUGGGAUGACAGCCUGAGUGGUCC